UAUAUAUUUAAUUCAAUGUGUUAUUUAUUGAGUAAUUAGUGUCUAAGUAAUCAACAUACCGGUAUUUAAAUUAACGAAAACAAGAAAAAUAAAGAAUUUAUUGAAUUAAGACGGAUAUCGAUAGGUAAAAAAUACCCGGUGUGUAUGGAAAACUUUACAAUAAAUGUCUUUGGUGAUGUUUGCUAUCACAGUAAGUAAAAAAAUAUUUUUCGAUCGUAAAGCACACUCCGAUGGAGGCAUGGGGGCAGUAGUUAUUAAUUUUUAAGCAAAUUAAGGCCGUGCCUUCACAACCCACAAGCCACAUAGACUACGAGAACGACUGAUUUACAUAUUUCUUUAGAAUCAAAGUAUAAACACAGAAAAAAAAAAUUCUCGACUAAAGAUAAAAACCUCAUACAUUUUUUUGAAAUUUAACUGAUAGUCCAAGAGUAUAAAUACAGCAGCAGAUCCAUUAGAAUCAAAUCGUGAGCGCAGUUAGAUAUUUUAAUUACCGACUAAAUUUUUUCUUCUCUCUAUAAAAUAAUGUCGAAAAUAAUUAUUUUGCUAUUAAUCAUCAGAUGUUUGGCAUCCACUACUCAGGCCUGUGCAGCUAAGAACGCAUGGUGUCACCCGUCCUACGGCUAUGAGCGCUGUGACCAAUUUUGAAGCUGUUCAAACGGUCCGUUUAAACAAGGGUUUGUCAACACACACCCGGUAAUUUUUUGGGAUUAUCAUUGCAUCCAGAAAAUAUAAUGUUAAUGUCACUCAUUAUAAUUAAUUUUAA